rnacentral:sRNA from 1 species
GAGGAAGAGUGAGGGCGCGACGCGCACGAACGGUGGAGGGAUGUUUCAGCAGCCCCUGAGAAGGAAGAGGAGGAAGCUGAGGGCCCGCUGAGGGCGCAGGACCUGAGGGAGUCCUACAUCCAGCUCGUCCAGGGUGUGCAGGAGUGGCAGGAUGGUUGCAUGUACCAGGGGGAGUUUGGGUUGAACAUGAAGCUUGGAUAUGGCAAAUUCUCUUGGCCCACAGGCGAGUCAUACCAUGGGCAGUUUUACCGGGACCACUGCCAUGGCCUGGGUACCUACAUGUGGCCAGAUGGCUCCAGUUUCACGGGCACAUUUUACCUCAGCCACCGAGAAGGCUACGGCACCAUGUACAUGAAGACACGGCUUUUCCAGGGGCUGUACAAAGCGGACCAGCGGUUUGGGCCAGGCGUCGAGACCUACCCCGAUGGCAGUCAGGACGUGGGGCUGUGGUUCCGAGAGCAGCUCAUCAAGCUGUGCACCCAGAUUCCCAGUGGCUUCUCCCUCCUCAGAUACCCUGAGUUCUCCAGCUUCAUCACCCACAGCCCUGCCAGGAUCAGCCUCUCAGAAGAGGAGAAAACGGAGUGGGGACUGCAGGAGGGACAGGACCCCUUUUUCUAUGACUAUAAGCGGUUUCUUCUGAAUGACAACCUAACGCUGCCUCCAGAAAUGUACGUCUACUCGACCAACAGUGACCACCUGCCCAUGACAAGCUCUUUCCGCAAAGAGCUGGACACCCGCAUCUUCCUCAAUGAAAUUCCUCCGUUCGUUGAGGAUGGAGAACCGUGGUUCAUAAUCAAUGAGACCCCUUUGUUGGUCAAAAUCCAGAAGCAAACUUACAAGUUCAGACUCACUGCCACAACGACAUUGUCAACCUUCUCCUGGACUGUGGGGCCGACGUGAACAAGUGCUCAGAUGAGGGUCUCACGGCACUCAGCAUGUGUUUCCUCCUCCACUACCCCGCCCAGUCCUUCAAGCCCAAUGUUGCUGAACGGACCAUACCUGAGCCCCAGGAACCUCCAAAAUUCCCAGUUGUUCCAAUCCUUUCAUCAUCAUUUAUGGACACAAACCUGGAGUCUCUGUACUAUGAGGUGAACGUGCCUUCCCAGGGUAGCUAUGAGCUGAGGCCACCGCCAGCACCACUGCCACUGCCACACGUCUCAGGCAGCCAGGAGGGCGGCCACUUCCAGGACACCGGGCAGUGUGGGGAGUCCGUGGACCACAGGAGCAGCUCUCUGAAGGGGGACUCCCCGUUGGUGAAGGGCAGCCUUGGCCAUGUGGAAAGUGGGCUCGAGGACGUGUUGGGAAACACAGACCGGGGCAGUCUGUGCAGUGCUGAGACGAACUUUGAGUCCAACGUGUGUGUGCGCAACUUCUCCAUCGAGCUCUCGCAGGCCAUGCUGGAGAGAAGCGCCCAGUCCCACAGCUUGCUGAAGAUGGCCUCGCCCUCACCGUGCACCAGCAGCUUCGACAAAGGGACCAUGCGGAGGAUGGCACUGUCCAUGAUCGAGUAGGUCCUGGCACCAGCUGGUGGGGGUGGAGGGCCACCAUCAGGGCUGAAUCCUAUGCUCA